GACGAACGCUGGCGGCGUGCCUAACACAUGCAAGUCGAGCGAUGAAGUUCCUUCGGGAACGAAUUAGCGGCGGACGGGUGAGUAACACGUGGGCAACCUGCCUUGUAGAGGGGAAUAGCCUUCCGAAAGGAAGAUUAAUACCGCAUAAGAUUGUAACUUCGCAUGAAGAAGCAAUUAAAGGAGCAAUCCGCUACAAGAUGGGCCCGCGGCGCAUUAGCUAGUUGGUGAGGUAAUGGCUCACCAAGGCGACGAUGCGUAGCCGACCUGAGAGGGUGAUCGGCCACAUUGGGACUGAGACACGGCCCAGACUCCUACGGGAGGCUG
rnacentral:rRNA from 1 species